UACGAAGGGUGCUAGCGUUGUUCGGAAUCACUGGGCGUAAAGCGCGCGUAGGCGGUUACUCAAGUCAGGGGUGAAAUCCUGAGGCUCAACCUCAGAAUUGCCUUUGAAACUGUGUGACUGGAGUGUCGGAGGGGAUAGCGGAAUUGCUAAUGUAGCGGUGAAAUGCGUAGAUAUUAGCAGGAACACCGGUGGCGAAGGCGGCUAUCUGGACGACAACUGACGCUGAGGCGCGAAGGCGUGGGGAGCGAACGGG
rnacentral:rRNA from 1 species